rnacentral:rRNA from 1 species
CGUAGGCAGCGAGCGUUGUUCGGAGUUACUGGGCGUAAAGGGUGUGUAGGCGGUCGUUUAAGUUUGGUGUGAAAUCUCCCGGCUCAACCGGGAGGGUGCGCCGAAUACUGAAUGACUUGGAGUGCGGGAGAGGUGAGUGGAAUUCCUGGUGUAGCGGUGAAAUGCGUAGAUAUCAGGAGGAACACCGGUGGUGUAGACGGCUCACUGGACCGUAACUGACGCUGAGACACGAAAGCGUGGGUAGCAAACAGGAUUAGAUACCCUGGUAGUCCACGCCCUAAACGAUGCAUAUUUGGUGUGGGCAGUUCAUUCUGUCCGUGCCGGAGCUAACGCGUUAAAUAUGCCGCCUGGGGAGUACAGUCGCAAGGCUG